UAAUGUGAACGUUUUUAGAAAUUUGACUAAUAAAGUCACUUCACUGUGCAUCAGUGACAAGAGGGGGAUGUCCGUGAGUUUGCUAAGUGAAUAUUUGUUGUAGCUUGUUCUAGAAACUAGAGUAACAACUCAAAACAGUGUCUCUGAAUUCACAGAGACACACACUAGUGGAUGAUUUAGGUAAGUGAAGAGGCAAGAACCAGAGGAGUAUUCCAGACGAUGGGAAGAAAAAAAAAAUUAUGGGAUCUAGAUUUUGGGAAUCCAGGGUGAGACCUGAAGGAGCAGAAUCAUCCAGGGAAAGAGGAGGAGGGAAGAAGAACACAGAAGUGGAGGGCACUUGAGUAACAGCAGCUGCACAGGUCUGCCAGCCACGUGGACAACGGAAUGGGGGGAGAAGACGGAUGUCAAAGAAACUGCUUAGGAGUUUGUAGUGACAAGUUCUCCAUCUACAUGAAUAUUUGAAUCGUGUCAUGCUACUUGAGACCCUCUAAUAUCAGCUGCAGAGAGCAGAAGGAAAAUAGGACCCAUAGGACUCAUCUUUACAAUGUGAAUAUAAAUACCCCUUAGGCUUUAACUCACAUUUUGUUUUUCUGUGUUUUCUUUUCUGCUUCAGUUACAGAGGAUAAUCUCUACCAGAAAACACGGGGUAUGAAGUUAGAUCUGUCUGGAAGCACAAGCAAAUCUGAAUCCAAGGAUGGAGGGUAGGAUCUGGGCUCCCAGACCACAGGAGAAGAUGAAGACAGCACACCGUGAGCCCUGGACCACACUCUUUGGAACGGCUGUAUCUAAGGAGAGAUUGCUCUCUGCCUCAGACACUAUCGCAAGAUAAUUAACAGAACCACUGCUGGAGACCGAUGAUAGCACAGGCAGCAGCUGAUACCUGUGGCAGGAACUCCCUGCCAUCCCAGUGCCAUCGAACUGUGAAGGAAAAGGACACGCAGUGCUGUGCCACACUAAUUUUACUAAACAAGUGCAUUAUUUAUAGCAGGCAUUACAGGGCUGUAUGUAUCUAUCACGUAACAGAAAUAAAGCAAAUGGUUUCUAAAACA